rnacentral:lncRNA from 1 species
UAGUCUCAGCCCAGUGAUGAAAAAACGGACUUCAAGAGAUUCUUCCCCAGGUGUUUCAGCCUUGGAAUCAUUUUAAUUUCAUGUUGAUCUAAUUAGUAAUUCCAAUCACAGGGGAAAGGAGGAAAAAAAAUACCUUUCCUCAGUUCAUGGUCAAUAACUUUGUACCCAUGUGGGAAAAUGGGCUGUAUGGGUGAUAGAUAGGAGUGUAGGGGGAAGGGAUAGCAGGCGGAGCGGGGAAGGGAUGGCGCAGGUGGAGCACGGGCCCCUGCAGAACCAUGAGGCCACUAGGUUUCAGAGCCCUCAGGGUCCUACUGUCCCAGAAAGCCUGCGGGUCCAGCACCGGGCUUCUGUGUCUUAGGGCAGCUUUUGGAGGUGCUUCCUUUGUCUGCUAACUUACCUUUACCUUCCUACAUUUUGUUUGAAGUCAGAGAAAAUUGCCCAUUUGGGGGCAACAAUGAAGCAUUCAUCACUCUCCGGAGCUAAGCCAUCUCGAGUAGCCCUCAAUCAAACUCUGCUAUUUUUACCUCAGAGCACAGAGGCCACAGCGGAUAAAGGACCCUUAAGGUAGCUCAUCUAAUUUGUGAUGGGGCCCAGGGUUGUAAUACAUCGUCUUCACGGCCGUCUUCAGGGCCAUGAGCCCUGAGCAGGGCUGGUUUCCCAUGCGUGUCUGCUUGGGAUGGGGAGUUUCAUCAGGAAAACCAAGCACAUAUUAGAACAGGAACAGCAGCUUGGCAGUCAGGGCCCGGACCAAGAAUGCAAAGGGGCUGGAGGAUCCAGGCUCAAUAGUAGCUCAAAAAGGAAGAUACACACAAAGCUGACACACAGAGUGAGCCACCGCCGGCACUGAGGUCACGGUACACAGUGAGCCACGCCUGGCCAGGACACGGACACAUGGGACACUACCCUCCCUUCGCCCCGCAUGCACCACCUGGUCCCGUGCUUCCCCUGGAGCCGCCUCCUUUCCCAUCCUCUGCACUCCCUGGUCCACUC